AGUGAACGCUGGCGGUAGGCCUAACACAUGCAAGUCGAACGGCAGCACAGUAAGAGCUUGCUCUUACGGGUGGCGAGUGGCGGACGGGUGAGGAAUACAUCGGAAUCUACUUUUUCGUGGGGGAUAACGUAGGGAAACUUACGCUAAUACCGCAUACGACCUACGGGUGAAAGCAGGGGAUCUUCGGACCUUGCGCGAUUGAAUGAGCCGAUGUCGGAUUAGCUAGUUGGCGGGGUAAAGGCCCACCAAGGCGACGAUCCGUAGCUGGUCGGAGAGGAUGAUCAGCCACACUGGAACUGAGACACGGUCCAGACUCCUACGGGAGGCAGCAGUGGGGAAUAUUGGACAAUGGGCGCAAGCCUGAUCCAGCCAUACCGCGUGGGUGAAGAAGGCCUUCGGGUUGUAAAGCCCUUUUGUUGGGAAAGAAAAGCAGCAGGUUAAUACCCCGCUGUUCUGACGGUACCCAAAGAAUAAGCACCGGCUAACUUCGU
rnacentral:rRNA from 1 species